AGCGAACGCUGGCGGCAUGCCUAACACAUGCAAGUCGAACGAGACCUUCGGGUCUAGUGGCGCACGGGUGCGUAACGCGUGGGAACCUUCCCUUAGGUUCGGAAUAACUCCCCGAAAGGGGUGCUAAUACCGGAUAAUGUCUUCGGACCAAGGAUUUAUCGCCUUUGGAUGGGCCCGCGUUGGAUUAGCUAGUUGGUAGGGUAAAAGCCUACCAAGGCGACGAUCCAUAGCUUGUCUGAGAGGAUGAUCAGCCACACUGGGACUGAGACACGGCCCAGACUCCUACGGGAGGCAGGAGUGGGGAAUAUUGGAAAAUGGGCGAAAGCAUGAUGCAGCAAUGCCGGGUGAGUGAUGAAGGCCUUAGGGUUGUAAAGCUCUUUUAACCGGGAUGAUAAUGACAGUACCGGGAGAAUAAGCUCCGGCUAACUCCGUG
rnacentral:rRNA from 1 species